CAGAUGCACCUACAGGGAUGGGAUGAGCAGGAAAGUGGUGACAGGGAAGAAACCAGGACCAAAAGAAAGCCUAAAUAUGAGUUUCCAAUGUUUUCCUGGCUUCAGGUGUGAUUCUCCACUUCAAUGAACCCUCUGGGUUGGGUUAUGGAGGGAGAAGGACUGACCACAUUCACCUGUGGUUUCCAGAAGAAGAGAAGGGAGCAGCCAGUUCUCCUCUCCAAAAACAGGCCCUGGGAGCUCAAUAGAUUGGAAAUAACUUAAUGAAAACCUACAGUUUGUCCAACAGAAUCAGCAGAAAACCCACCGUUCCUGGCAGGAGUUUCCAAUGGGAAAACAUUGAGGACCUGGAGGAUCUCACCUAAAUCACUGCUGGGCCCAGGUAAUUACCCCUAGGAAGGAGCUGUGAUGGUUUGAAAACAUCUGUUUCUUUUUGGAAUCUGUGUACAUCUGCCCUUAAACAAGGUGAAAACUUGGUGUGAUAACUCUGAGGACUGAAUUUCUGCACUGCUAUGUUCUCUGCAAUUAGAUAACAGCUUAAAAUGUGAUUAGUGCGUUAUUUUUACCUCUCAGAACACACAGACACAACAAAACUCUCCGUUGAGAGCUGAUUUGAUGCCAGCUAAAUAUCCAGGUGGUACUCAGAAGGCACUGGUAAUCAAAUUCCUGAAACAUCUUGUGCAGAGUGAGAAUUUCCAUGUUUCUGAACUAUAUUUCCCUCCCAUUCCCAGUGGGGCUCUUCACUGUUGCUUUAUCUGAAGUCCUUUAAGCUGUUACUCAGUUCAGUGUUUCCCUGGGAGGUUCUCUCAGGUAGAGGAAUCCCCUCAAUGUGCUGGUUAUGCUGGGAAAGAGAAAAUUCUACUCUGUGAGUCACUUUGUACAUGAGAGAGGUUAUCUGACAGAGCUUUCCACACAGCUGGCAGCAGGAUCCCUUCUCUCCUUCCAGCAGAGACAAAACUGGCAGCUGGAUGGAUUUUAAACGUGGGGCAGUUGGGGAAUCUGCAAGGUGUAACGACCCUUGUGAAAGGACUUGGCUGUUCCAAGGGGAUGUAGGCUCUGGGAAAUGCCUCCAGAACGGGACUGGGAUGGUCAGUGAUCUGCUUGGCUGAAAUGUGGGACAUCAAGGCCAGGUUGGACGGGGCCUGGAGCA